GGUUAACUUGAGUGUUGUAGAGGUAAGUGGAACUCCAUGUGUAGCGGUGGAAUGCGUAGAUAUAUGGAAGAACACCAGUGGCGAAGGCGGCUUACUGGACAACAACUGACGUUGAGGCUCGAAAGUGUGGGUAGCAAACAGGAUUAGAUACCCUGGUAGUCCACACCGUAAACGAUGAACACUAGGUGUUAGGAGGUUUCCGCCUCUUAGUGCCGAAGCUAACGCAUUAAGUGUUCCGCCUGGGGAGUACGACCGCAAGGUUGAAACUCAAAGGAAUUGAGGGGGACCCGCACAAGCGGUGGAGCAUGUGGUUUAAUUUGAAGCAACGCGAAGAACCUUACCAGGUCUUGACAUCCUUUGAAGCUUUUAGAGAUAGAAGUGUUCUCUUCGGAGACAAAGUGACAGGUGGUGCAUGGUCGUCGUCAGCUCGUGUCGUGAGAUGUUGGGUUAAGUCCCGCAACGAGCGCAACCCUUAUUGUUAGUUGCCAGCAUUCAGAUGGGCACUCUAGCGAGACUGCCGGUGACAAACCGGAGGAAGGCGGGGACGACGUCAGAUCAUCAUGCCCCUUAUGACCUGGGCUACUCACGUGCUACAAUGGCGUAUACAACGAGUUGCCAACCUGCGAAGGUGAGCUAAUCUCUUAAAGUACGUCUCAGUUCGGACUGCAGUCUGCAACUCGACUGCACGAAGUCGGAAUCGCUAGUAAUCGCGGAUCAGCACGCCGCGGUGAAUACGUUCCCGGGUCUUGUACACACCGCCCGUCACACCAUGGGAGUUUGUAAUGCCCAAAGCCGGUGGCCUAACCUUCGGGAGGGAGCCGUCUAAGGCAGGACAGAUGACUGGGGUGAAGUCGUAACAAGGUAUCCGUA
rnacentral:rRNA from 1 species